rnacentral:rRNA from 1 species
AGUGGGGAAUCUUGGACAAUGGGCGCAAGCCUGAUCCAGCCAUGCCGCGUGAGUGAAGAAGGCCUUAGGGUUGUAAAGCUCUUUUGCCAGGGACGAUAAUGACGGUACCUGGAGAAUAAGCCCCGGCAAACUUCGUGCCAGCAGCCGCGGUAAUACGAAGGGGGCUAGCGUUGUUCGGAAUUACUGGGCGUAAAGCGCACGUAGGCGGGUUGUUAAGUCAGGGGUGAAAUCCCGGAGCUCAACUCCGGAACUGCCUUUGAUACUGGCAAUCUAGAGACUGGAAGAGGUUAGUGGAAUUCCCAGUGUAGAGGUGAAAUUCGUAGAUAUUGGGAAGAACACCAGUGGCGAAGGCGGCUAACUGGUCCAGUACUGACGCUGAGGUGCGAAAGCGUGGGGAGCAAA